rnacentral:rRNA from 1 species
ACUCCUACGGGAGGCAGCAGUGGGGAAUAUUGCACAAUGGGCGCAAGCCUGAUGCAGCCAUGCCGCGUGUAUGAAGAAGGCCUUCGGGUUGUAAAGUACUUUCAGCAGUGAGGAAGGUGGGUAUGUUAAUAGCAUACUCAUUUGACGUUAGCUGCAGAAGAAGCACCGGCUAACUCCGUGCCAGCAGCCGCGGUAAUACGGAGGGUGCGAGCGUUAAUCGGAAUUACUGGGCGUAAAGCGCAUGCAGGUGGUUUGUUAAGUCAGAUGUGAAAGCCCGGGGCUCAACCUCGGAAUUGCAUUUGAAACUGGCAAACUAGAGUACUGUAGAGGGGGGUAGAAUUUCAGGUGUAGCGGUGAAAUGCGUAGAGAUCUGAAGGAAUACCGGUGGCGAAGGCGGCCCCCUGGACAGAUACUGACACUCAGAUGCGAAAGCGUGGGGAGCAAACAGGAUUAGAUACCCUGGUAGCCUCUGC